CGCGCACUGGGCGGGGGUCGCGUCCCAUUAGAUGGUUGGUGUGGUAAUGGCGCACCAAGUCGAUGAUGGGUCUCUGGUCUGAGAGGACGACCAGACAGAUUGGGACUGAGACACGGCCCAAACUCCUACGGGGGGCAGCAGCAAGGAAUUUUCGGCAAUAGGCGCAAGCCUGACCGAGCAACGCCGCGUGGAGGAUGACGGCUCUUGGGUUGUAAACUCCUUUUGGGGGGGACGAUAAUGACGGUACCCUCCGAAUCAGGCCCGGCUAACUACGUGCCAGCAGCCGCGGUAAUACGUAGGGGCCAAGCGUUGUCCGGAAUUACUGGGCGUAAAGCGUGGGUAGGUGGUCGGUGAUGUGCCGCGUGAAAGCGCCGGAGUAAUGCCGGCGAGGUCGCGGUAGACACAUUGACUGGAGGCUCGCAGAGGAACGUGGAAUUCCCGGUGUAGUGGUGAAAUGCGUAGAUAUCGGGAGGAACACCAGUGGCGCAAGCGGCGUUCUGGGCGAGACCUGACACUGAGCCACGACGGCGUGGGGAGCAAACAGGAUUAGAU
rnacentral:rRNA from 1 species